CUCGGGUAUUAAAGCAUUGCGAUCGCUUCACACUCUGACAUCCGUAGCCGCAGGAUGGAAUUCUGCAGCAGAUUUACGACAAAUACAUGAGCUGGCUUUGUAACCAUUCUCCAACGAGCGGAUUAUUGAUCUACUUUUUUAUCAAGUCUGAUAUCUGGGCACGAUCAGGAUACGAGGGAAGGGAAUAUUCCAGAUGUUUUUCAUUCGGUUUGUUUGUGAAUUUGUGUCAAUCCAGAAUAAACUCCAGACAGGAAAGCUAAACAUUUCUUAAGCUAAGCAAAGCCGGAGACAGGAGGUUUCUCACGUUUCUUAUGCGUACUUGCUGAAAAGGGCUCAUGAGACCUCUCCAAAGCUAACAGACAGAAUAAUCCACAUGUAAACACGCCUCCUGGCCUCUUGGCCUCCUGGUCCGGGGCCCUGCAGAUGGGAAGACGCUCAUCGUUACACCGGGAGCUGCAGCAGCGGCUGGAGGAGGAAUUUAAUGCUGGUUUAUGAUUAAUGCUGGUGCUGAAGGAGAUGAAAAGCGAUGUCACGGGGCACAGACAUGAUAAUCAGGCAGCGAUGAAGGACGUCCUGACCAUGCGGAGGACUCAGAGAACAGCUUUGAUGUCUUAAAUGAAGACGAACGGUUAGAGUGACUUUGGCGUGAAGGGAGAACGAGAUCGCCUCGUAAAUCUCUGUCGUUAUAAAUUCAUACGGUCACGUGAUCACAUGACCAACGACGAUCCGCCGGACACGGAAAGACGAAGGGAGAGCGGACAAGGAUUUGUACAUCCUCUGUGACAUUUCAUUUCUGUUUCCUUUUUAGGUAAUAUUUUCUCACUGCUAUGCUAAUCACAUCCAUCAGCGUUUGCAUCCGAAAUCCCUGACUUCUCGUCCUAAAAUGAUCCAAGUCUCACUUUUUAAACACAUGCACUGAAAUAGUAAAACAGGCCAAAGAUUAAAAUAUCACCUACGAAUAUAUGAAUAUGCAAAUGAGGCAGUGCCUCCUGGUGGUCCAGCUUAUUGAUGCGGCCCAGGUUCAAUUCCCAGGUAGGGAGCUAACCCAGCCACUGACGAGUUAACUCUCAGCUUCCUGUUUGGUGACCCCAAACAGGAAGCAGCCGAAAAAACAACAACAACAUGUGAAUAUGCAAAUGAGGAACUUCCCCAUGUCAUGGAAGCUUCUUUAAUUAUUGAAUAAAUUGCUAGUUAUCUAGAACGAGUCAUCAUCAUUACGGCGCCGUUCUCACAUCAAUUCACUUAACAGCUGUCUGAAUUUGGUUCGUUGUUACCAUGACGACGACGACACAAUCCAUUUAAACAUUAAAACACUAACAUUAAAGUUAGAGAGCUACACAAAGUUGAUUAUUUUUCAAUAACAGCAGUAUCUAUUUUGCUCUUCACAGCAAUUUGCCAACAAUGAGAAUAUUUUAUUUCUUAUACAAAAACUCGUCGUAGUUUUUAUCCAUUUAUAGCUACACUUUUAACCCUAUUCGUUAUAGAACAUUGUGUUAUAGAAACCUUCAAUGGAUGUUAAUGGUUCUUCAUAGAACCAUCCACUCUGACACAGAAGCUUUUGAGAACCUGCGUGUGGAAUGUUUCCAUCGCAUACGAGGUUCUUUGUAGCGGAAAAAUGUUUUAGACUAUAGAAUGUUCUUUAUGGCAUCAAGAAAAAAUGUUUCUUUACUGAAAGGUUCUUUAGGGAACCAAAAAAUGGUUCCUCUACAGCAUUACUGCAAAAAAAACCCUUUUUGGUUCUUCCUGAAACACCUCCACACACGUCUAUCAAGUCUUUCUACAUCUGUCAUUACUCAAGCCGAGGGGUGUGGCCAAAAAAAUCAUCUUUUGUUAACUCCUUCUUCUCUUCCUCAUGUUCAAAUAGCGCCAGUUUAACAUCUGAUACUUAUUACAUUUACAUUUCUGGCAUUUAGCCGACGCCCUUGUCCAGGGCAACUUAUACAACUGAGUAGUUGAGGCUCAAGGGCCCAGCAGUGGCAGCUUGGUAUACUUAUGUUUAUACUUAUAGUUAUACUUAUGUUUAUUCUAUUUGCACUACCUCAACUGCUGCUGUGUAUUUUUGCACAAUAUUUUUGCACAAUACUUUUUUUUUCUACAUCAUUUCACUUUAUCUAUUUUAUUUCACUUACAUUCCAGUACACGUUCUUUUAUUUCCUUUCAACGCUAAGUGUCCUGUGUUCUUUUGUGUUGUCUUUAUUGUAUUUAUUGUCUUUUUUGCACUGUCUUGUCUAUGCUCUGUUUGCACCUAGCUGCACACUGUGCACUUUACGUGGCUAAGACAAACUUCUGUCCUAGCUCUGUGGUGGUGUUUGUUGUUUUUGUAUUGUACUAGUAGUUGUAUGUUUAUGUAGCACCAGGUCCUGGAGAAACGUUGUUUCAUUUCACUAUGUACUGCGCCAGCUAUAUGUGGUUGAAAUGACAAUAAAAGCUUCUUGAAUCUUGAAUCUU